AUUGAACGCUGGCGGUAUGCUUAACACAUGCAAGUCGAACGGUAGCAGGUCUAGCUUGCUAGAUGCUGACGAGUGGCGGACGGGUGAGUAACGCGUAGGAAUCUGCCUUAUUGUGGGGGAUAACCUGGGGAAACUCAGGCUGAUACCGCAUGAGCCCUAAGGGGGAAAGGAUGGGACCGCAAGGCCAUUCGCGAUAAGAUGAGCCUGCGUCGGAUUAGCUUGUUGGUGGGGUAAAGGCCUACCAAGGCGAGGAUCCGUAGCUGGUCUGAGAGGACGACCAGCCACACUGGGACUGAGACACGGCCCAGACUCCUACGGGAGGCAGCAGUGGGGGAAUAUUGGACAAUGGGGGGCAACCCUGAUCCAGCAAUACCGCGUGUGUGAAGAAGGCCUGCGGGUUGUAAAGCACUUUCAGCCGGAAAGAAAUACGCGCAGGCUAAUACUCUGCGUGGAUGACGGUACCGGAAGAAGAAGCACCGGCUAACUACGUGCCAG
rnacentral:rRNA from 1 species